AUGGAGGAGCCAGGGCGCGACCCGGCCGGAGCUCGGGGAGCCCGCGCCAUGGCCUCGCCCGACGCCGUGAGCUUCUACUGCCACACCUGCAGAGCCCGGUUGGAGCUCCCCGCCCCGUCCUCCCCCUUCCACUUCACCCUCUGCCCACGUUGCCGCCGGGACUACCUCGACGACUCCCCCGAUCCCCACCACGCGCCGCAGCCGGUGUUGCCGCCGCCUCCACCGCCCCUGUGCGCCGUGCCUUGGCCGCCUGCCCCGUCCACCUCUUCCACGCCACCGCCGGUCCCGUGCGUCUCGUCGCCGUCGUCUUCCUUCACGACGGCGCGGCCGCGGACUCUGGUGUCCCCGCGCACAGGACCCUCGUCUUCCUCCACAGGACCACCGCCUGCGACGUCGAGCGGCAGCGCCGCCUCGCCGACCGCUCCCGUGUCGUCCUGCUGCCCCGAGCGCUCAGCGGCAUGUCGGGAAUUCCGGCUCCUUUGCUCCCACGAGGAGCAGCGCCGGUCCUCGCCCGCCGUCUCUCCCCUGUCGUCCCCAUACUCCACCGCCUGCUCCUCCCCUCUGCUGGCGUCGCCGCCCCCGCCGCCGUUCCACCACGGCGAGCUACUAUCCGAGUCGUUUCCUUUGACCUUGCGCUCCUCCACCGGCGAGGAGGCCAUGUCACCGCCUCAUGAUCUGCUUCCUCCUCCGCCCCCGCCGCUGUUCCACCGUGGCGAGCUGCUAUCCGAGUCGUUUCCUUUGACCUUGCGCUCCUCCACCGCCGAGGAGACCACGUCGCCGCCUCAUGAUCUGCUUCCUCCCCCGCCCCCGCCUUGGCUGCCGCUGGCGCCUGCUGGUACAUGGGAUGAAUUCCUCUUCAAUCCCUCCGACUCCGAUGAUGACAGCCCGCCACAGCCUCCGCCGCCGCCGGAUGUCUCUCCCUACCACGCCAUGUUCGACAUGCCGCUCCAAGUCCAACGCGGUGGGUCACAAGCGGCGGCGGCGUCUAUCGCCGCCAACGACAGCGUGUUUGAGUUCGACGCGCCGCUCCAACGCGGCGGGUCACAGGCGGCGCCGCCGGAGUCCAUCGCCGCCCUGCCCACCGUCACCGUCACGGACGCCGGGCUGGACUGCGUCGUCUGCACCGACCCCCUCCCGCCUUCGGCGCCCGUGCGCCGGCUCCCCUGCGGCCACCUGUACCACUCCCACUGCAUCGUGAGGUGGCUGUCCGAGCAGAACUCUUGCCCAAUCUGCCGCCGCAGUAUCCCGACGAUCGCCUCCGAUACAAGCGAUGUCGCGUCGUCGUCGUCGUCGUCGCAGUCCCCCGGCGGGAGGCGAAGGCGAUCUCUGCCGGUGCCAGGGGGGCGCCGGAUCAGAAGGAUCUGCAGCCGGCUGCUUAGGAACAUGGAAAUCGGCCGCGAUCGUCAGACGAGCAGCAGCCGCGACCGCCAGACAAACAGCGGCGGCGGCGAUGUGCAUGUCUGA
rnacentral:rRNA from 1 species